rnacentral:rRNA from 1 species
AGAACGAACGCUGGCGGCAUGCCUAACACAUGCAAGUCGAACGAGACCUUCGGGUCUAGUGGCGCACGGGUGCGUAACGCGUGGGAAUCUGCCCCUUGGUUCGGAAUAACAGUUGGAAACGACUGCUAAUACCGGAUGAUGACGAAAGUCCAAAGAUUUAUCGCCAAGGGAUGAGCCCGCGUAGGAUUAGCUAGUUGGUGAGGUAAAGGCUCACCAAGGCAACGAUCCUUAGCUGGUCUGAGAGGAUGAUCAGCCACACUGGGACUGAGACACGGCCCAGACUCCUACGGGAGGCAGCGAGUGGGGAAUAGUUGGACAAGUGGGACGAAAGCCUAG